AGUCGAACGAUGAGAGGGAGCUUGCUCCCUGGAUUAGUGGCGAACGGGUGAGUAACACGUGAGUAACCUGCCCUUGACUCUGGGAUAAGCACUGGAAACGGUGUCUAAUACCGGAUACGAACUUCAGCCGCAUGGCUAGGAGUUGGAAAGAAUUUCGGUCAAGGAUGGACUCGCGGCCUAUCAGCUAGUUGGUGAGGUAAUGGCCCACCAAGGCGACGACGGGUAGCCGGCCUGAGAGGGUGACCGGCCACACUGGGACUGAGACACGGCCCAGACUCCUACGGGAGGCAGCAGUGGGGAAUAUUGCACAAUGGGCGCAAGCCUGAUGCAGCAACGCCGCGUGAGGGACGACGGCCUUCGGGUUGUAAACCUCUUUUAGUAGGGAAGAAGCAAAGUGUUUUACAUGGAGUGACGGUACCUGCAGAAAAAGCACCGGCUAACUACGUGCCAGCAGCCGCGGUAAUACGUAGGGUGCAAGCGUUAUCCGGAAUUAUUGGGCGUAAAGAGCUCGUAGGCGGUUUGUCGCGUCUGCUGUGAAAACUGGGGGCUCAACCCCCAGCCUGCAGUGGGUACGGGCAGACUAGAGUGCGGUAGGGGAGAUUGGAAUUCCUGGUGUAGCGGUGGAAUGCGCAGAUAUCAGGAGGAACACCAAUGGCGAAGGCAGAUCUCUGGGCCGUAACUGACGCUGAGGAGCGAAAGCAUGGGGAGC
rnacentral:rRNA from 1 species